UUGAAAAUAACUGAUGAAUAUUUGGCUGGAAGCACUAUAUUCAAAACAAAUGGUAGUCCAACUCACGUCCAGUUACUCCCAGCAAAGCUCAAAUGAGAAAAUAAGGCUUCAUAAUAUCGAUUAAUUUUUCUUUACAAUCCUUCGAGGAAACAACAGGCCAAGUGAACUUUGAUUUUCAAGAAAUCGUAACAUCAGAGCACUCGUGCUAAGAAAAAUUAUAUUUUGAUGAAGCAGUACCGGUUACACCGAAAGGAGCCAUCAAAUUAGAGCAUGCUAAUACUAAGAUUUGGUUAACACAUAAAAAUAUCAUCGAGGAGCACCAUAAACUUGGGUUGAGUCGUAUUGGGGAUAAGCAGCAGGCUGGGGCGACAAUGUUUUGCCAUACGCAGCCGGAGCACUUGCCGGGACAGCUGCAUAACCAGCUGGUUGCGUGUUAGACUGUUCAUAACCAGUUUGAGUGGGAGUGGGUUGAACAUAACCUGGCUGCCCACUUGGUUGUGCUGUACUAUAUGCUGGUGCAGCACCAGUGCUAUAAC
rnacentral:lncRNA from 1 species